rnacentral:rRNA from 1 species
ACGGGGUGCAGCAGGCGCGAAACCUUUACAAUGCACGCAAGUGUGAUAAGGGAACCCUAAGUGCUUUGCUUUUGCAAGGCUUUUGUUUAGAUUAAAACUCUAUGCGAAUAAGUGGUGGGCAAGACUGGUGCCAGCCGCCGCGGUAACACCAGCUCCGCGAGUGGCAAUCACAUUUAUUUGGUCUAAAGCGUCCGUAGCCGGUUCAAUAAGUCUCUUGUGAAAUCAUUGAGCUUAACUCAAUGGUGUGCUUGAGAUACUGCUGGACUAGGAACUGGGAGGAGUCAGAAGUAUUUCUAGGGGAGCGGUAAAAUGCUAUAAUCCUAGAAAGACUACCUGUGGCGAAAGCGUCUGACCAGAACAGAUUCGACGGUGAGGGACGAAAGCUAGGGGAGCAAUCCGGAUUAGAUACGGGAAGUUGUGUCUGAUUCUAAAAAUAAACCUGUAAAUUGUUCUAUAGACACUAUUACAAGUUUAGAAAUAGAAUCGCUAUAUGACAAUUUCUCGCUAACUACCCGAGUAGUCCUAGCCAUAAACGCUGCGAGCUAGGUGUUGCAUAUUCUUCGUGAAUAUGUGGUAUCGUAGUGAAGACGUUAAGCUCGCCACCUGGGGAGUAUGGUCGCAAGACUGAAACUUAAAGGAAUUGGCGGGGGAGCAC